rnacentral:rRNA from 1 species
UACGGAGGGGGCGAGCGUUAUUCGGAAUUAUUGGGCGUAAAGGGCGCGUAGGCGGCCCGGUAAGUCAAAGGUGAAAUCCCUCGGCUCAACUGAGGAACUGCCUUUGAAACUGUCGGGCUUGAGGCCGGGAGGGGGUAGCGGAAUUCCCAGUGUAGCGGUGAAAUGCGUAGAUAUUGGGAGGAACACCAGUGGCGAAGGCGGCUACCUGGACCGGUUCUGACGCUGAGGCGCGAAAGCGUGGGGAGCGAACAGG